CCCAGGCAAAGUCUCUCCCCGUGAGCGGGGUUGGAAAAGGACGGGGAGGAGUGUCAGCCUUACCUGAAUGCCAGUACCCUGCAGCAGAGCUGGGGGCCCGGCCAACCCUCAAGUCAGCUCCUCCUGGCCGAGGGACACUUCAGCCCUGCUCUCACGAGGCUCUGAUCCAGGAGGGAAAGUCUCAGGGCAAGGCUAUGCCGGAGCUCUCCCGAAAGGCUGGCGUGCACGGAGACGCUGCAGAGCAAUGGGCUGCUUCCCAGGAGAGUGGCUGGGCACGGGAUGGGAAAGCGUGAGGUGGCUGCUGGCUGGGGCUCUGCCCCGAUGCUGGGGUCCCUGGCGGCACCGGUGACCCCGGAGGGUGGCCGGUGGCGCUGGAGCAGCGUUGUCUUGCGGCGGCGUACGUUCCAGUGAUGCUGCUCACUGGGGUCUGUCGGUGAGGGGCCAAAUGCUUCCCUCCGCACUCAGAGGAGGGACGGGCCGAUGCUCGACCCAGGCCAGCAGCACUGCUGUCGGGAGGGACACAGAGAGUACAUUUUUGCUCUGUUUCCUCCUUUCCCAGCCCCUCUGGAAAAGUCAUGAAACCUCCCUGUCCCCAGAUCCUCUGUGGAGGUGCUGGGAGCGCUCAUUGCCUAGCGCUGGAGACCACCGGGGCUUCUUGGGCUCCUGGUAGCCGCUACAGUGCAAAGAGUCCCGGGGAGACGUUUUCACCCGUGCCAGCCACGCCAGUCUGCAGACUGGCUUUGCCGGCAAUCUGAGAGGUGCCGGGCUGUUUGGCACGCUUGGGGAGAGGCUGCAAGGUCAGACAGGGAUGCAGAACAGGGAUGCUCUUUGCAUCCCUCUAGCUCUGCUUGCAGCCCCUGUGUAGGGCAUGCCUUGGGGGCUGGCCAGCAAGGCAGGACGAGCCGUGUUCCCCCAAAUCCUGCUGCAGCUGGGGAUGGGGAAUGGGUCAGUCCAGCCAGGCUGUGACAACCGCAGCGUGAGCCUGGGAGAUGUGACGUGUCUGCUACCGACCGAGACUGACACCCGCCCGGGAGGGAGCCAAGGCGAGCCAGAGCAUCAGUGCGCCGACAUCCCCAGCGGAAGGGUGAAGUGGAAAGCGUAGAAGCAGCGACGGGCUCUUUGCAUUUAAAAUGACAGAUCGGUGGCUCUUUUGUAAAGGCUCCCGUGCUGUGCUUUGGCUGCAGCAGCCAGCAACACACGCAAGGUCACUGGAAGGGACAAUAGCGCUUUGGGCAGCUCUGUAGUGAAACUUCCCAGCCACGCUGGCCAAGGCUCUGCUCCAGCCCGCUGCACUGCUUGCCCUGGGAGGGAAGACGUCUUCCCCCUUUGUCAAAAAGACGAGGAAAGGGGACAGGGAUGCUCCAGCUCACGCACACGUGCACAGACACGAAGCUCCCUUAGCGCAGCAGCUUCAGCUUCUCACCUGAAGCGGGGUUACGUUUCUUUUCCUACGAUUACAUCUCCUUCCCGUGGAAGCUCCACCGCAUCCAGGGUGGGCAUGGCUGUUAGAGGUAGCGCGUGAUUAACCUAGUAGGAAUAACUCGGCCGGGAUCUGUUGCGACAGCUGAUACCAGCUUGAACUGCCCAGGAAUUGGCCCUCGGGUUAUUUGGUACAUCUUUUUCUUGUAAAGUAACAUGGUCAGGACGUGGGUUUACCUUACGAGGACCACAGGUACUUGGUGACAGCUCUCUCGCAGCCGAGGGUGCUGUGAACCCCAGAGUCCUCACAUCCACAUCAGCUGUCUGACUGCUGGCUAAGGUAACGCAAGGCUGAAGGAGACUUUUCGUCUCUUCUCAAAGGUCUUUGGUUGGUGAAACCGGCACUGACGGGAGGGUUAUGUCAGCCCCCGGGCGGCCACGUUUCUGAAAACAAGGUCUGGCCAAAAGCAUUUGCUCUGAGGAGCUGCCCUGCCAGAACGUGGGCUCCAGCACUGUCUGCCCUCCCUGGAAGCGCGCUGGCGUGGAGCUGGUGGUGGCUUGCUGCACCCACGUUGUGCUCAUCUCGGAGGUGAUACGUUCCCUCGCUGGAUCCAGCCCCCAGAGCCAUCCAGGCCACGUUCCAGUUUCCAAUUCCCUUGAUAUGCGGUGGGGACCCUGGACCUUUGCGCACUAUUAAUAACGUGCUGUGCUGAUGUGCCGGUGUCUCUGAAUCACUCCUGUCACAUCCCCAAGGACUUGAGCUGCAACAGAAAACUUCUGGGGGUCUGUCCCUGUUCUCCUCCCGAUCUCAGUGGCACCACUCAGUCCCGUCAAGCCGAAACAAAGCAUAAAAGAUCCCUGCAGCCCACAUCUCUCAACUGUUGCACUAGCAGGAAAAAUUCAUCUUCCCUGAGCCUUUCUAAAGCCUUUCCAGAAAACUCUGCAGAGUGGAAACCUAGCACUGGCAUCUCCACUGCAUAGAACUAUUUUGGUAACUCAGGGUUCCCAAAAGCUGCCUGGAAGGUAGCAGUGCAGGGUCUCAUGUGCUUUCCUGGCAUGCUUUAGUGACAGGAGGCUUUUCUUUGAAGGCAGUUUGCACCUGGGAUCCAACUUUGAUUUCUGGUACUUGGAAAGUUACGUUGCCACAUCCAGAUAGGUCAAGGUUUUUGCUCUCUGUUGAAUUUUGCCUGUCAUGAAUUGUCUUUGGACUUCUUGGUGGCUCACCGUACAACAGGAUUGACUCCUUUCUCGCCUGGGCAUGACUGUUCCGCAGCAUUUCAGGCUGUACAGGCAAAGGGCUGGCACAGGGGUACUGUGAGGACUGAAUCCCUCCUUACGGAAUGCUGGAAGCCAACGGUCGCUUUGUGUGUCCAGCCCCGGCCCACACACGAACAGUGAGAAAGGUUUAAACCAGCCAUCAUUUUCUGGAGUUUCCUCCCUCCGUUGUCUGUCUGAGAUGCGCCUUAUGGCUCAUGGGUACGCAGGGAUGUUGGUGCAGUCACGUUAGAGAAGUUGCGUUGAAAACAGUUGUUAUCGACUUCAGUUGCACCCCAGAGCUGGUUAUGUUGUCCUUCUGUCUGCCCCAUUCCGUCCGCAGCCUCUAGAUCUAAGUGACCUACAGACCUAGACUCAUUGUGCUGUGGAGCCUGGAGAAGAGAAGGCUCAGGGAGAAUCUUAUCAAUGUAUAUAAAUACACGAAGGGAGGGUAUAAAGAAGGGAGAGCCAGGCUCUUUGCAGUGGUGCCCAGCGACAGGACCAGAGGCAACGGGCACAAACUGAAACACAGGAGGUUCUGCCUGAACAUCAGCAAACACUUGUUUACUGGAGGGUGACCGAGCUCCGGGACAGAUUGCUGAGAGAGGUUGUGGUCUCCCUCCUUGGUGAUAUUUAAAUGCCGUCUGAACAUGGUCUUGGGCAACUGGCUCUGGGUGGCCCUGCUUGAGCAGGGGGUUGGACCAGAUGACCUCCAGAGGUCCUUUCCAACCUCAGCCAUUCUGUAAUUCUGUGGGUUUAUGGAAGCCGCCGGGCAGAAACGGGGACUUCACAUCUGAGCCUGGACUCUGAAAUCACUGGGCUUUGGGGACCGUCCCCUGCCCACGGAAAGGCAGCUGCAAACAGAAAAGGGGUGUCAGGCCCUGACUGCUGCCCCCAAGGUGCCAUUCAGUCCGGUGGUGACCAAAGAAAGUUAGGAGAGCUGGAGGAGAUCCCACUGCAGUGUGCAGAGUCAGCCUGCACCGAGGAGAGGGACGAGGCAGGGAAGAGGUGACAGUGUCCCUUCCCUCAACGCCCUGCAAGCAGAGAACAAGAGCUGUGAAGAAAGCAGACUGCGCUGUAGGGAAAAAAAAAAACCAACAAACAACCCUCUUGUGAAGCACGUGAGGAGAGUGCCGUGUCCCUGGAUUGCUGGCCGCGCUGCACGCGCGUGUGUGUGUGUGUGUGUGCGCACACGCGAGUGCUACGGGCACAUCCCUGCUCCUGAGUACUGCGGAAAUUUUGGCAGUGGGAGGGGGGUACUCCGGGACUCUUUUCUGGUAGAGGGCUGAGCCCCUCUGUGAAAACCACCCCACGCGUGGAGAGAUGUCUGCACUCACUUCUGGGAAUGGGUCUGUCCUUGAGGCGCCUGGGAAGUUUUGCUUCUCUCAACUCCAGAGAUGGCCGCGUGUUGGCGAUGCUCCGCACGGGGAGGCUUUAGGUAGGGUCGUGACACAACGACGCGGAGGAGAUACACGUACCAGCUCCGGCCGGGGCACUCAAGUCCUUCAUCACUUCAAGGAGUCUAGGUUUCUGGAGGUGUUUGUGGACUCAGCCCUUAGGCUGCUUCUGUACUGCGGGAGGGAAAAGGGAGUAAGUUAAGGACCUGCCAGGCAUCCUUGGAAGCGGCUGGGGAAGCGUGGCGCAUGGGAGGUGUGCGUGAGGCUUGCCUUUUCCCCUUCUGCAAAGCUGCUUGGCUGUGUUCAUGAAAUUAACGGGAGCCCUCCCAUUCAUGAGUGAGAGGUCCCUUUUUGGGAGCCCUCCCUCACACCCCCUUUGCCCCCUGGAUUUUCCCUAGCCAAAUGAGUGGG